rnacentral:rRNA from 1 species
UACGUAGGGUGCGAGCGUUAAUCGGAAUUACUGGGCGUAAAGCGUGCGCAGGCGGUCUUUUAAGCCAGAUGUGAAAUCCCCGGGCUUAACCUGGGGACUGCGUUUGGAACUGGAAGGCUAGAGUACGGCAGAGGGGGGUGGAAUUCCACGUGUAGCAGUGAAAUGCGUAGAGAUGUGGAGGAACACCGAUGGCGAAGGCAGCCCCCUGGGCCUGUACUGACGCUCAUGCAAGAAAGCGUGUGGAGCAAACAGG